UCUUAGCUUCAAGAAGCAUGGAAAUCAGCUCUUAACAUUUGCCUCUAAAUAUACAUAUGCCUACCUUGGAGCUCAUUUGAUUGGCUGGUUCCUGUGACGGUUGGGAAUUUCCCUGUGUACCACCUAUAGAACCCUGCCCUGAGCCUGUGACGUACCAGUGGGACUGGUUUUGUAUAGGAUCGAGACUCCUGUUUACGUAUAAUAUCACUUUGAUCUGCACCAUGAGGCGCCUCUCUUUUGUCUUUUAGGACUGUAUCCUCCUGUUAUCACCCAGCAUGGAAAUAUAUAUUGUAAGCACACUACGCAAUCUGGUUAAUAUACUCAAUACCCAUCAAGACGCUCUCAUCCAGGAGAUAAAGUUGGCUUCUAGCCCAGUGUUUGAAAAAAAUGUGAAAAACAUAAAUGGCAAUUUAAUUACCCCAACUAUUUUGAACCAGGCAUGCAGGGUUGACCAGACUGCAGGCGGGAAUCUCACUGGUGUCUGCUAUGGGAUAAGAAAAUAUUUUAGUGAGCACAUUACAGGGGACUUUUGGCAGGCUAUAGAAGUGCCAUUUUGUGGAAGCUCAAAUUCCUGGUAUGACCUCUUCUGUAUUACUGAAAACAUACCACAAUCAAUCUUUCUGCUCAGGUCUGGUAACUUAUACACAUUGCAUAUCUGCUAUAUAGGGAAGUCUGGUUGUUGUUCAGAGGACAUUGUUCCUAUUAAGGACUCACAACAAUUGAUAAAGAUAUACUGUGUUGGGGCAGACAUUGGAUAGCUAAUUGGCCAUUAAUAUUAACCUAGAUGUAAGAGGACAGAAAUAGCAUGUAUAGGUUUAAAGGUAAUAGUAUCAUUUAGCCCACAUACUUUGUUGUCAACUGAGUGAGAACUGUCAUAUAUUCCUUUAUUAUUUUUUAUUAUUAUGUUAAAGUUUAUAUAUUGCAGUGUUCACUUUUUAACACACCUGUUUGUCUCUUUGCUACAACCAUUCCAUAUCAACUUAUGUCCUUUAUUUUCUGUAAUGGCACUUUGACUGUUACCAGUAUUCUGUUAUAUUUUAUGCCCUUCCACAUAGCUCAACCAAUAUUCUAAUGGUGUAUUGCACUCUUCAUUGGAGACAUAGUCCUUCUCUUCCUCAGCCGGCGUGGAAGAGGGGGGAUUGUGAUUAACAGUCUAGAGCAGCAUUAGUUUACUUAAAAUUUUCUUAAUCUUUUUUAUUUAAAGGGACAUUCAACACUUAGUGUAACAUGUUUUGAUAUGGUAAAUAAAAAAACAAAAUAUUGUGCUAGUACCUAGUUUAUGGGUAGGUGACUUAAUUCACAGAGAAAAUUAAGACACGUGACCUUAGAGUCUCCUAAGCAAUUAAUAAAGGGCUCUUUUAUAAUCAUUCCUAGCUCAUGAUAAAUAACAUAAACACAUUAUACCAUAAGACUUUCUCUUUAAGGUAUAAGUAUAUAACCACAUUUCUGUUAUUGUUUAAACGUUAUCAUUUUCUAUAUUCAAGGGUCCAUCAGUGACCUGUUUUAAAACUAUUUAGAAGAGAACUAUCACAUCGCCUAUCAUUAGCGACUUGUUCCCUUUGUGGUUACCAAGAGAGAGAUGUCAUGCAUAAUCAAAUGGCCCAUAAGUAGUCAGUUUAGUAACCACUCAUAGGAUAACACUAGUUAUAAAAAAAGAGGCUUCUGAAGUUUGUCAUACCACAAGUUGCAUACUUCACUAUUUCCAGUAUAUAUCAUAUUGCUGUAUUGUAAUUUUAAUUUCUGUUAUAUGACUUUCACUGUUUUGUUGGAAUUUGUGCCAAACCUCAAUAAAGGAAUAUAAAAUAAAAAAAUAAAUAUAGGUUUUAAGACUA